UACGUAGGGGGCAAGCGUUGUCCGGAUUUAUUGGGCGUAAAGAGCGUGUAGGCGGCCGUGUAGGUCCGUUGUGAAAACUCGAGGUUCAACCUCGAGACGUCGAUGGAAACCACACGGCUAGAGUCCGGAAGAGGAGAGUGGAAUUCCUGGUGUAGCGGUGAAAUGCGCAGAUAUCAGGAGGAACACCGAUGGCGAAGGCAGGUCUCUGGGCCAUAACUGACGCUGAGAAGCGAAAGCAUGGGGAGCGAACAGG
rnacentral:rRNA from 1 species